CCACCGACUACAUCCACCUUGAUG
rnacentral:siRNA from 1 species